rnacentral:tRNA from 1 species
AGUUAAUAAGUUUUAUAGAAACAUGUACUUUGAAAGUACAAAAUAGAGAUUAAAAUCUCUAUUAACUU